GCCGUCAGGGUCUGAUUUG
rnacentral:miRNA from 1 species